rnacentral:tRNA from 1 species
GGGAAGGAGGCUCAGUGGUAGAGUGCUUGCCUUGCAUGCAUGAAGCCUGGGUUCGAUUCCUCAGUACCA